GUGGGGAAUAUUGCACAAUGGGUGGAAGCCUGAUGCAGCAACGCCGUGUGCGGGAUGACGGCCUUCGGGUUGUAAACCGCUUUCGCUCAUGACGAAGCUUUGUGUGACGGUAGUGGGUAAAGAAGCACCGGCUAACUACGUGCCAGCAGCCGCGGUGAUACGUAGGGUGCGAGCGUUGUCCGGAUUUAUUGGGCGUAAAGGGCUCGUAGGUGGUUGAUCGCGUCGGAAGUGUAAUCUUGGGGCUUAACCCUGAGCGUGCUUUUGAUACGGGUUGACUUGAGGAAGGUAGGGGAGAAUGGAAUUCCUGGUGGAGCGGUGGAAUGCGCAGAUAUCAGGAGGAACACCGGUGGCGAAGGCGGUUCUCUGGGCCUUUCCUGACGCUGAGGAGCGAAAGCGUGGGGAGCGAACAGGCUUAGAAACCCGUGUAGUCC
rnacentral:rRNA from 1 species